ACGAGUUUUUGAAGUGGGUUGUAGCUGGCCUUUUAACAGAGGCAUGUGCACACCUGGUUCAUCCACUCUCAAACCCCUGUGCACUUGUUGUAGGCUUGGUUCUGUUUUAAAGGCCAUUUAUUGGUCUCGAGAAUAGCCUUGUCUAUGUCUUUACAAAUGCUUUAGUCAAAGAAUGUAAACUGCGUUUGGCGCAUCAAAUA
rnacentral:misc_RNA from 1 species